GGGUUGUGAGGUUAAGCGACUAAGCGUACACGGUGGAUGCCCUGGCAGUCAGAGGCGAUGAAGGACGUGCUAAUCUGCGAUAAGCGUCGGUAAGGUGAUAUGAACCGUUAUAACCGGCGAUUUCCGAAUGGGGAAACCCAGUGUGAUUCGUCACACUAUCAUUAACUGAAUCCAUAGGUUAAUGAGGCGAACCGGGGGAACUGAAACAUCUAAGUACCCCGAGGAAAAGAAAUCAACCGAGAUUCCCCCAGUAGCGGCGAGCGAACGGGGAGCAGCCCAGAGCCUGAAUCAGUGUGUGUGUUAGUGGAAGCGUCUGGAAAGGCGCGCGAUACAGGGUGACAGCCCCGUACACAAAAAUGCACAUACUGUGAGCUCGAUGAGUAGGGCGGGACACGUGGUAUCCUGUCUGAAUAUGGGGGGACCAUCCUCCAAGGCUAAAUACUCCUGACUGACCGAUAGUGAACCAGUACCGUGAGGGAAAGGCGAAAAGAACCCCGGCGAGGGGAGUGAAAAAGAACCUGAAACCGUGUACGUACAAGCAGUGGGAGCCUCUUAAUGGGGUGACUGCGUACCUUUUGUAUAAUGGGUCAGCGACUUAUAUUCUGUAGCAAGGUUAACCGAAUAGGGGAGCCGAAGGGAAACCGAGUCUUAACUGGGCGUUAAGUUGCAGGGUAUAGACCCGAAACCCGGUGAUCUAGCCAUGGGCAGGUUGAAGGUUGGGUAACACUAACUGGAGGACCGAACCGACUAAUGUUGAAAAAUUAGCGGAUGACUUGUGGCUGGGGGUGAAAGGCCAAUCAAACCGGGAGAUAGCUGGUUCUCCCCGAAAGCUAUUUAGGUAGCGCCUCGUGAAUUCAUCUCCGGGGGUAGAGCACUGUUUCGGCAAGGGGGUCAUCCCGACUUACCAACCCGAUGCAAACUGCGAAUACCGGAGAAUGUUAUCACGGGAGACACACGGCGGGUGCUAACGUCCGUCGUGAAGAGGGAAACAACCCUGACCGCCAGCUAAGGUCCCAAAGUCAUGGUUAAGUGGGAAACGAUGUGGGAAGGCCCAGACAGCCAGGAUGUUGGCUUAGAAGCAGCCAUCAUUUAAAGAAAGCGUAAUAGCUCACUGGUCGAGUCGGCCUGCGCGGAAGAUGUAACGGGGCUAAACCAUGCACCGAAGCUGCGGCAGCGACGCUUAUGCGUUGUUGGGUAGGGGAGCGUUCUGUAAGCCUGCGAAGGUGUGCUGUGAGGCAUGCUGGAGGUAUCAGAAGUGCGAAUGCUGACAUAAGUAACGAUAAAGCGGGUGAAAAGCCCGCUCGCCGGAAGACCAAGGGUUCCUGUCCAACGUUAAUCGGGGCAGGGUGAGUCGACCCCUAAGGCGAGGCCGAAAGGCGUAGUCGAUGGGAAACAGGUUAAUAUUCCUGUACUUGGUGUUACUGCGAAGGGGGGACGGAGAAGGCUAUGUUGGCCGGGCGACGGUUGUCCCGGUUUAAGCGUGUAGGCUGGUUUUCCAGGCAAAUCCGGAAAAUCAAGGCUGAGGCGUGAUGACGAGGCACUACGGUGCUGAAGCAACAAAUGCCCUGCUUCCAGGAAAAGCCUCUAAGCAUCAGGUAACAUCAAAUCGUACCCCAAACCGACACAGGUGGUCAGGUAGAGAAUACCAAGGCGCUUGAGAGAACUCGGGUGAAGGAACUAGGCAAAAUGGUGCCGUAACUUCGGGAGAAGGCACGCUGAUAUGUAGGUGAAGUCCCUUGCGGAUGGAGCUGAAAUCAGUCGAAGAUACCAGCUGGCUGCAACUGUUUAUUAAAAACACAGCACUGUGCAAACACGAAAGUGGACGUAUACGGUGUGACGCCUGCCCGGUGCCGGAAGGUUAAUUGAUGGGGUUAGCGGUAACGCGAAGCUCUUGAUCGAAGCCCCGGUAAACGGCGGCCGUAACUAUAACGGUCCUAAGGUAGCGAAAUUCCUUGUCGGGUAAGUUCCGACCUGCACGAAUGGCGUAAUGAUGGCCAGGCUGUCUCCACCCGAGACUCAGUGAAAUUGAACUCGCUGUGAAGAUGCAGUGUACCCGCGGCAAGACGGAAAGACCCCGUGAACCUUUACUAUAGCUUGACACUGAACAUUGAGCCUUGAUGUGUAGGAUAGGUGGGAGGCUUUGAAGUGUGGACGCCAGUCUGCAUGGAGCCGACCUUGAAAUACCACCCUUUAAUGUUUGAUGUUCUAACGUUGGCCCCUAAUCGGGGUUGCGGACAGUGUCUGGUGGGUAGUUUGACUGGGGCGGUCUCCUCCUAAAGAGUAACGGAGGAGCACGAAGGUUGGCUAAUCCUGGUCGGACAUCAGGAGGUUAGUGCAAUGGCAUAAGCCAGCUUGACUGCGAGCGUGACGGCGCGAGCAGGUGCGAAAGCAGGUCAUAGUGAUCCGGUGGUUCUGAAUGGAAGGGCCAUCGCUCAACGGAUAAAAGGUACUCCGGGGAUAACAGGCUGAUACCGCCCAAGAGUUCAUAUCGACGGCGGUGUUUGGCACCUCGAUGUCGGCUCAUCACAUCCUGGGGCUGAAGUAGGUCCCAAGGGUAUGGCUGUUCGCCAUUUAAAGUGGUACGCGAGCUGGGUUUAGAACGUCGUGAGACAGUUCGGUCCCUAUCUGCCGUGGGCGCUGGAGAACUGAGGGGGGCUGCUCCUAGUACGAGAGGACCGGAGUGGACGCAUCACUGGUGUUCGGGUUGUCAUGCCAAUGGCACUGCCCGGUAGCUAAAUGCGGAAGAGAUAAGUGCUGAAAGCAUCUAAGCACGAAACUUGCCCCGAGAUGAGUUCUCCCUGACUCCCUGAGAGUCCUGAAGGAACGUUGAAGACGACGACGUUGAUAGGCCGGGUGUGUAAGCGCAGCGAUGCGUUGAGCUAACCGGUACUAAUGAACCGUGAGGCUUAACCUUACAACGCCGAAGCUGUU
rnacentral:rRNA from 1 species